ACGGCACAACCACACAGCGGAACAUGCAGCGGAACCACAGAACUGUGCAGAAUUUUUCUGUGUGCCAACGCCAUGACGUUCCACGCUGAGGUGUGGAGUUUCUCUGGUUUCUUCACCAGUUAACCUGCGCAUACGCCACUUCCUCACAACAGCAUGAUUUCUGGGCUGGUAGCAGCGAGGUGGGGAGAGUUGCGUGACUUUCUGAAGGUGCACGUGCUAUCGUCCCGAAUGACACAACACACUCCAGGUAAACCAAGGGACUAAAGGGACUUCACCUCUUGGCUGUCAGUAGAUCGUCCUCUUCAUAUUCCAGGCGAAGACCAACUUUCCAAUAAUGUUUUGUACCUUGACAUGUUUCAAAGUCGUUUACUGUCAAUAAAUGUCUUAAAAUGCA